UGCUUUGGCUACAGUGAGCAUCUCUCUGUGGUAAAGAGAAAGGGUAAAAUUAAGUCUCCACUUUGGGCUGGAACACCCUUCCCUGAAGCCCUGAGCCAGCCCUGAGCCAGCCCUGACGUCACUCAGAGCUCCCCUCCUGCUCCGACUCCACUUCCGGUCACCAGACCUUGACUUGCUCUUCCUGUGCUACUCCCCUGACCCUCACAGCUCCAUGCUCCUACCGGCCCCACUGUCCACACAGCCCUAGGGGCAGCGGGCACAGGAACCAGGGACCCCCAGGCUGACCUCUCACUUUUGGUCCCUGAGCUCCUUGUUGUCACACAAAUAGCUGUGUCACCCUCCCUCCUCUGGUCUCCAGCAACAAAAGCCUGUGGAGCCAUCAUAGUCCCUGUUCCUGCCAGACCUUUAUUAACCAUGACAAGGGUUUGGAAAGCCCACAAAACAUCCUAAUCUCUCCUGUCUCCGUGUAGAAGCAGAUAGAGUUGGAAGAGGCUGUGGAGGGUGGAGAGGUGGCAGGCACGUCCCUGGAGAGCCCGUCUCCAGCCACCUUCCUCCCCUGAAUGUGUCUCCCCGCUCAGCUGAGACCGUCUCUCAGGAAUCUGGCCAAGCUUGCUGAAGGGACGCUCAAGAGGGAGUUCAUCAUGGAGACUGUGGCCAGUGGGAAGAUGGAUCAUCAACUCUGUUCUGGGGUAAGGCUCCUGGGAAAUCAUUUGUUCACUGGCUCAUUCAGUCAUACAGUGGAGCCACCUGUCGCCAGCCAGAGCUUUAGCAAGAGGAAAAUAAAACUCCAAGUUCUCUUCCUGUCUGGCUCUCUCCAUUCCCUGUCUAAGAAGAGAUGGAUCAGGUAACUGUAGACGGCAGAAAAAUGGAAGGAAGGCUGCCAUCCACCCCACCCCACAGAGGAGGCCUGCCCUCCAGACUGGUCUGCUGGAUGGUUUGGACCACACGUGCGUAGAGCCACUUGCUGUCACCUGGGCUGAUGGGGUCUGCUGUCUGGUCUGCACAUCCCCUUUUCUCUUCAUAUGUGGACGGUGGACUGCUCUAGAACCCACUGUCCUGGAGCAGGCCCCGCCAUCUUGUCUUCUUCCACAUGGGAAAGGAAGGAGAUUCAUGACCGAAGGUUGACUUGUUCCCCCCUCACCAUGGUUGGUGUGGAAAUGAGAGAAAAACACAAACUGCCAUUAUCUCCACUUCCUUCAGUCUAACCUCUGAAUUGGGGUUUGGGGUCCACACUCCUGAAAAAUAAGAUGCUAUUUUAACUUUCUUUUCUAAUUUUCACCUUAUGCCUUUCUCUAGGAGACUCAUAGGGAGGCAUUCCAGAGUCUCCUGUUCAAAGACCCCCCGGGGGUUCCUGAUGUCCUCAACAAAUGGAGAACCCAGGAGGCCAGGCUAGGGCCCAUCACCCACCCAGUGUGCCCCUUACAGAGGGCCUGGUCCCGGCGUGUCUUCAAGGCUCCACACUGAAGGAACUCUUGCCAUGAGCUCAAUAUCUGAGACAUACUUUUCUAAAUUCCCCAAUUUCUUGCAUCUCCGAUUUUCUUUUCAUUAUUGAUCAAUUUUGUGACCUACCUUGGCAACCAGCAUCAAUACCCCUCUUUAAAACAAAAAAAAAAAAGACUCCUAUUGAGAACAGAAUCUUAUGCCCUCUCUGAGGCCCGUAUGGCAGGUUGUACUGCUCGUCUCAGCAGCUGCGCUUCUCACCGUGGAGAAUUACUGUCCCCAGCCCAGUGACAUCACACUUAACCAUGCAGUUUGCUUUGGUCAAUGGAAGUGGCACAUCCAUUUAACGCCAUCACAUGGCCCUCCAAUUACUCU
ensembl:lincRNA